rnacentral:rRNA from 12 species
ACCCUUUAAUGUUUGAUGUUCUAACGUGGACCCGUUACCCGGGUUGCGGACAGUGUCUGGUGGGUAGUUUGACUGGGGCGGUCUCCUCCUAAAGAGUAACGGAGGAGCACGAAGGUUGGCUAAUCCUGGUCGGACAUCAGGAGGUUAGUGCAAUGGCAUAAGCCAGCUUGACUGCGAGCGUGACGGCGCGAGCAGGUGCGAAAGCAGGUCAUAGUGAUCCGGUGGUUCUGAAUGGAAGGGCCAUCGCUCAACGGAUAAAAGGUACUCCGGGGAUAACAGGCUGAUACCGCCCAAGAGUUCAUAUCGACGGCGGUGUUUGGCACCUCGAUGUCGGCUCAUCACAUCCUGGGGCUGAAGUAGGUCCCAAGGGUAUGGCUGUUCGCCAUUUAAAGUGGUACGCGAGCUGGGUUUAGAACGUCGUGAGACAGUUCGGUCCCUAUCUGCCGUGGGCGCUGGAGAACUGAGGGGGGCUGCUCCUAGUACGAGAGGACCGGAGUGGACGCAUCACUGGUGUUCGGGUUGUCAUGCCAAUGGCACUGCCCGGUAGCUAAAUGCGGAAGAGAUAAGUGCUGAAAGCAUCUAAGCACGAAACUUGCCCCGA